GUGGGAGUUGUGUAAGUGAUCCUUUGAUUUGAGAUCAUCAUGGUACCUUAUGUACUUAGAUCCAUAUUUUGGUCCACUUCCUAACUUGAUUCUUUGAUCCUUGUAUGAGAUGUUUUGAAUAUAGUGAAGAGUAUAUGAAGGUUGUGAGUGAUCAAUAAGGGAUCAGUUACUCCUAAUAAAGGGAGCAAAGAUCCUAUGUGAUCUCAUAGGAUGGUGAUUCUGAAAGUCUUUGGCCAAAGCAGGAUGAUAAUUAGAAAAGAGUUUCUAAUAUAUCAUCAACUGAAUCAUUAUCUUUAGAUCGAGAUAUAUAUAGAUAAAUGAUUGGGUUUGAUAUAUUUCUAUACCCAUAACUCAUCUGGGAUGUUGUUUGACAGAAAGAUUGAAUUACACGGGAACUUAUCACUGAAGGGUAUUUU
rnacentral:lncRNA from 1 species